CUACUGUUAGUACAGAAAUGGAAAGAAGAAGAAGAAGAGAGGAGAAAGAAAGAAGAGAAGAAGAGGAGAUAGAGAGGGAGUUGCUGAUUCUUAGACAACUGCUGGAUACUUCAGUAAAUAGAUGACGAGACUGGUAUUUUGCCUACUGCCAGCUUUUAUCAUGAGACAGUGGCCUUAGAUUACUUGGCCAAUCUUCCAGAGGAUGAAACCGAUCAUGGACCUGACUAUGGAUGUGAUGACUGCACCCAUGGAGGCAAGUUCUUCUGAGGAAUAGAAUAGAUUAUUCCUAUGUCUUUUUGUAUAUAUUUCCACUGAUGCGAACUCUGAUAUAUAUAGUCUACUUCUGAGACACGGUGAACUGUGUAAUUAUUCUUUUUGUAAGGUAUAUGACUUUUAUCUAGAUAACUGUAAAUAUAAUGUAUCACAUAGUGACACUCAAAAUGAUGUAAUAUAUCUCACUGAUGGACUAUUUCUAUUUA